CCUACGGGUGGCAGCAGUGAGGAAUAUUGGUCAAUGGGCGCGAGCCUGAACCAGCCAAGUAGCGUGAAGGAUGACUGCCCUACGGGUUGUAAACUUCUUUUAUAAAGGAAUAAAGUGAGGCACGUGUGCCUUUUUGUAUGUACUUUAUGAAUAAGGAUCGGCUAACUCCGUGCCAGCAGCCGCGGUAAUACGGAGGAUCCGAGCGUUAUCCGGAUUUAUUGGGUUUAAAGGGAGCGUAGAUGGGUUGUUAAGUCAGUUGUGGAAGUUUGCGGCUCAAGCGUAAAAUUGCAAUUGAUACUGGGAGGCGUGAGUACAGUUGAGGUAGGCGGGGGUCGUGGUGUAGGGGUGGAAUGCUUAG
rnacentral:rRNA from 1 species